CUUGGUCAUUUAGAGGAAGUAAAAGUCGUAACAAGUUUCCGUAGGUGAACCUGCGGAAGGAUCAUUACAGAGUUCAUGCCCCUGGGGUAGACCUCCCACCCUUUGUAUACAUUGCCUUUGUUGCUUUGGCGGCCGCCGCGCCCGCGUCCACCGGCUUCGGCUGGUGUGCGCCCGCCAGAGACCCCCAAACCCUGUUUUACAGUGUCGUCCGAGUACUAUAUAAUAGUUAAACUUUCAACAACGGAUCUCUUGGUUCUGGCAUCGAUGAAGAACGCAGCGAAUGCGAUAAUUAAUGUGAAUUGCAGAAUUUAGUGAAUCAUCGAAUCUUGAACGCACAUUGCGCCCCUUGGUAUUCCGGGGGGCAUGCCUGUUCGAGCUCAUUUCAACCCUCAAGCUCUGCUUGGUCUUGGGCCGCGCCGGCAACGGGGGCCUCAAAAACAGUGGCGGCGCCAUCGUGUCCCUCAGCGUAGUAAUUUUCUCGCUGCUGGUGCCCGGUGGCCGCUGGCCAGCAACCCCAAAUUUUUUAUGGUUGACCUCGGAUCAGGUAGGGAUACCCGCUGAACUUAAGCAUAUAAUAAGCGGAGGA
rnacentral:rRNA from 1 species